AGAUGCUCCUGCAUGAAUGCAGAUCCCGACACUACCUUUUUUGAUUGGACUGUCACUGAACCAGCUAAAAGACGCUGACCACGCAGCCUGCCCUGAACUAAAUGGAAUAUACAUUUGAGCAGCACACAGCAGUUUGUGAGAAAUGAUCACUUGUGUGGUUGGGUGCAGGACGCUUCCAGGCGCCGUACAGAUGAGGCAUAUUAUGAGGGUGUCAUUCCAUUGCCCACCUGGGCUGGAAAGGAUGCAAGGAAGGAGGCAACUGAGGCAGCAUCUGCUCCGGGCCGCGGGAGAUGGAUGGAGGAGCUAGAUGCUUCUGCGUUGUGCGUUCUCCACGGUGGAGAUUACGAGCUUCCUGCCACAUACUGUAAAUACCUGCGCGGCCACAUCUGGAUCAAAAGGUCAGGAUGUUGAUGGUGGGCGGAAGCAACUGGCCGGAAACUUAUGAGACUUGAUAUGAAUAUCCACAGGCUCCGCUGACCUUUCCCUUUUGUUUAUAUGAGAUCAUUGCAGUUCCUUGGAGCCUUCAGCCUUUGUACUUAAAAAGUUUUCAGAGGGUCAGUGACAACACACAAACUAAGGAUGUGCUCAUCGAUGCCUUGUGUAGUUGUUUAUUUUAGGUUUGUCAUAAACCAAAACCACUUAUUUAUAGGGACAAAAGUUCUUGUUCCUCUUGUCCGUCUCCAAAAAUUUAAAAAGAAGAAGCCUCGAAUGUACCGAAAUUAAACAAAUCUGCUAUAUGGAGAUAUUUUACUGUGGAAAGAUAUCACUAGACAUCACUAAUAUCAACUAGCUAAACUAUUGUACUGUGUAUAACGCCAUUGUUAUACUCACACUUCACUCUGGUUGAGAGCACCGGUCAUAUUAAAGCUAAAGCACCAGGCUGCUUGAGGAGAAUCAAAGACCGGGCAACAAAUAUGGACGCAAUCAAGCUAGCCACCUCAAAUUGGUUGGCAAUUUUCCACAGAAUGCCACACCAAUAAGCUUUAACAUGGCACCAGAGCAGCUGGUGGUCCAAAGAGGUGGAACUAUUAGCUUCUCAAACACAGCAGAAAAGUGGAAUAAGUCCGGACCGCAACAGUCCAACAGCAGAUGAACGGAAGUGAAAGAUAAGAGCACAGUUUGGGUUUGAGUUCAACACUCGCAGAUGGAGCUAUUUUGUGAAUAGAAGAAGGCUGUGACUUCUUUUUUCCUUCUUUUUCUCACCUGCCAUGCUCAGGUAUUUUCUAGUUGUCUGUUUUUUCCAUGUAGACAUAAAAAGGCCUGUAUGCAUUAUAUAUCUACUGCCUACUGUCUUCAAGAGGUUAGGAUAAUAUAGAUAGACUUCCAGUAUCAAUCAUAUAGUCUACAGUAUAUACAGUGUUUUAUCAUAUUUCGUCCAACUCUUUCUUUCUGUUUACGUCUCCUUAAGACGGAGAAUUGAGAACUGGAAGUAAAAGCAACUGGACUUCUUGCCGAAAAGACACGCUUUCCACUUCACAGCCAGGAUAAUUUAACAAGGAUAUACUUCAGUCAUAGAGAUCUCUGAUCAGUCACUGUAAAAGGGAGUCUUGUUGGGCCAAAAAGAUUGCG